AUAUAAGGAUGUUAGCCUAAAACCGUCGCUUCCUGCGACAAUGGCUAACUGACCUGCGUCGUGCAGG
rnacentral:sRNA from 1 species